UUCUGCAAUGCUAUUCACUAAAAAUCUACCGCAACGCUGCGCCCGCCGACGAGCUCUAGGCUGAUCAGCCUUGCGAACGACCGUGGCUACAGCGCUGCGGUAAUUGGUAUUCACUAACGUGUCAAACCUCAUCGACGAACUGUAGGCUGUGAUAACUCGAGGCUGUGCGCACGGACGAGAUAGGGCUUGCAACAAAAACCGUAAAAUGAAACCGAUAACUGUAGAAAUAUAAUAUUUUAUUGACAAAUGGAAUGUUUUAUUCAGUUUAGAAUGUUAUUUAAAUAAAUAUUAUAUAAAAUAAACAUAAAUUUAUACAUCAAACAUUUGAUUUUGUUUUUUAAAGUUAAGAUUUGUUUGAAUACCCUUGCUUCCAUUGCCGUAAAAUAAACAAAUAACACUUAUACGUAGGUACGUAGAGAGUAUUAUAUUCCUUGUACUUAACAUUCCAGAGGCGCACUUUUUGUAUUUGUUUAUUCUCUUUUAAAAAUAAUUAAUAAAAUUAACGUAACUUUACCAACGUUUUAUAAGUUUGGAUGUAUCUAUCAAAUACGUCCACGCCGUCAUUUGACUGACAGUAUCCCGAUGACACUUAUCUCCUUCACAAUAGCAGCCUCAACUAGAAAGAGAGUAGUCUCACAAAGAUUUGUUGCCACUGAAGAGCACCGAGUAGAGACAGAACAAAUUUUGAUAGAGAAUCAGACAACACUAGUUCAUAUCUUAUAGCUAAUGAAUGAGAUAUGACUAAAUUAAAGUCAGCCAUUGUACGAUUUAAUUAAAAAUUUUUUAAAAAAAUUUCAAAUAAUUUUUAUUCAAUUAAAUUUAAAAUAUUAUAAAUGGUAAUUCUUUAUGAUUCUACCAUCCAUUGUGAAGAAGGGGAGAAACCUCAAUUUUGGUUUUUAAAAUACUAAUAGAUUUUACAAUAAUACAUUUCUAAAAAUAUACACUGCCAAACAUAACAAGAGUUAUUGGAAUUAUUAGUUAAAUCAAGUUCAUUAUUGAAAAUAUAAGAUUAAAUUAUGUCAUUUAAUAGUCAUUAGUAAUUUUGAAAUAUAAGUUUCAUCUUAUAUAAUUUUCAAAUAAAAACACAAUUACAAUAAAAUUUUAUAAUUAUAAACUUGUUUCAAUUUCAAAUAAAUAAUUUUUAAUGAAUAUUUUUUUUAAUUUCUUACUCCAUACUAGUUAUAAUAUGAAUUAAUUAUAAUAAUUUUAAAUUAAAAUAUACAUUUACAACAUAAUAUAAUAUUAAUUUUAAUUCACAGGUAGACAAAAAUGUAACAAUAAAAAAGUAUUUGAAAAUAGUUUUAAGAUAUAAGUACAAAAAGUAUAGCUAGCUUAUUUUGACUACAAAAUUUUCUUUUGUGCUUCUUCAUUUUGUAUAGAUGAUGUAACUGCAUCAUAUUAUCAGCAUAUCACAAACAAUACAGCAAUACACUACUAUUAUUGUGGCUGUCCAAGGGUUUGUGUCAUGCUACUAAAUGAGUUUCAAAAUCACCUGAAAAAAAACAAGUAAUGUUAAUUAUUUUUAAUUAGCCACAUAGCCAAUCCUGAAUUUAUGUGUGUCAUGUUUUUUAAAACUAUGAUUUUGAAACAAUUUUUUAUAAUAGUUUCAACCUGAAUGCUAAAUUUAGUGGUCUAAUUUAACAAAAAUUAAUUGACAUGAAUUAAUAAUUUACUACAUGUUUAACUAAGUUGGUUUCUUUCUAACAUAUUAGACAUAGUUAUUUUUAUACAAAACCAGAGGCCACUAAGCUUAUGGAUCACCUAAUGGGAAACGGUUACCAUGAUCCAUGAAUAUUUGUAACACCAGAAGUAUUAUUAUGCAUACUAGAAUACUUGUUACACACCAUUAUUAACUAGCUAGUUGUUCCCUACACAAACAUCUGCUGACACAAUUAAGCUUGUCUCAAUAAAAUAAACAAGUGCACACAAUCACUGCAAAGUAUUCUUUUUCCUGCUUUAAAUUUAUUUAUGUACCUAAUACCAUCAAUUAAUAAAAUUUAAGUUACAAACCUUUAGCUUUAACAACUCUCUGGAACAGGCAUACAUGGUGACAAUUCUUUUUCUAACAUAUUGAUUAAUUCUUCAGAAAGUCGGUAAUGAUGAAUAUAAUCCACAUCACAUAAAGUUGUUGAUUGUCGGCAUUUCUUACAAUCAUUUUCUAUUUUAGCUUCUUUCAACAAAUGGGUCAUUACACAUAAACGGGCAGCAAUCGUUUUUAAACACAAAUUGAUAAUUUCAAUACAAUUAAUAAUCACAGAAUUCAAGAAACAAAUAAA